CCUACGGGUGGCUGCAGUGGGGAAUAUUGCACAAUGGGCGCAAGCCUGAUGCAGCCAUGCCGCGUGUGUGAAGAAGGCCUUCGGGUUGUAAAGCACUUUCAGCGGGGAGGAAGGCGGUGAGGUUAAUAACCUCAUCGAUUGACGUUACCCGCAGAAGAAGCACCGGCUAACUCCGUGCCAGCAGCCGCGGUAAUACGGAGGGUGCAAGCGUUAAUCGGAAUUACUGGGCGUAAAGCGCACGCAGGCGGUCUGUCAAGUCGGAUGUGAAAUCCCCGGGCUCAACCUGGGAACUGCAUUCGAAACUGGCAGGCUAGAGUCUUGUAGAGGGGGGUAGAAUUCCAGGUGUAGCGGUGAGAUGCGUAGAGAUCUGGAGGAAUACCGGUGGCGAAGGCGGCCCCCUGGACAAAGACUGACGCUCAGGUGCGAAAGCGUGGGGAGCAAACAGGAUUAGAUACCCCAGUAGUC
rnacentral:rRNA from 1 species